UUUAUUAAUUUCUGCUUAAUUUCUCAGACGUGUCAUUGAAGUCACCAUAAGUGCCAUGGAGAAGCAUGUUUUUGAGUCACAGCUUCAGAGGAAUUGUUGCCUAACCCUGUGCAAUUUCAGAAUUCCAAGUGAAAUAACUUGUGGUUACAAAAGAAUUCUGGGGGUUUUACUGCAAACUGCCAUGGAACACAAGAAUGACU